UACGUAGGGGGCAAGCGUUGUCCGGAUUUAUUGGGCGUAAAGAGCGUGUAGGCGGCUUUACAGGUCCGUUGUGAAAACUCGAGGCUCAACCUCGAGACGCCGGUGGAAACCGUAAAGCUAGAGUCCGGAAGAGGAGAGUGGAAUUCCUGGUGUAGCGGUGAAAUUCGUAGAUAUCAGGAGGAACACCGGUGGUGUAAACGCUUUCUGGACCAUAACUGACGCUGAGGCACGAAAGCGUGGGUAGCAAACAGG
rnacentral:rRNA from 1 species